rnacentral:lncRNA from 1 species
CGUUUAUGACAAUCUUAGAGCAUAUUUAACUUCCGUAAAAUUACUUAUACAUCGUUUUCAUAAUUACGGCUACAUUGACGCGGGAAAAAUUAUGGACGGCGGGAAAGCGCAGUUCUACAGAGAGGCACAAGUUUUGCAACGUCACAGAUAAGAAACGUCAAGAUGCUUUUGGCGCGACAAAGCAAGAAAAAAACUCGGCAGCAAGAGGGUUAA